GUGAGUCGCUUUGUGGACAACGACUCCCAUCGUUAGGUCCGGAGAGACAUAUAUAAACCUGUCAGUAUAGCCAUAAUCUUUGAUAAUAAAAGUAAAUGAACAAAGAAGUAGACCAGACCCAGCUGCUAUUGCAUUUGGUGUCUAUAAGAGACAUCUCGUUAAGUAGACCGGAACUGACCUUUUUUUGUUGUUGUUGUAAACGGCGAGUGAACCAUCUUAAUUUAUCCACCAUCUUUGGUGUGUUCAGGAGGAAGUGGAACAUGUAAACACACAACAAUGUCAGCCGUAGACCUAGUGCUCUGCAGCCAGACCUUACUUCUGCACAGUUAUCAAGCUAUAUCAGACCCAUAUCCAUCCAUACAGAACACUUGUCGGCUCUGCGGUCAAAAUCUGCUCAUCAAGGGGACAUUACAGGCAACACGAAGAAUAUUUGACAAGCCUAAAGCCUCAAAGGAAAAAGGUUAUGUGAUAGAUUCCUUGCCACCGGUUUAGUGCUAACUGAAGCACCAGGGGUGAAAUCGGGCAGAAUUUGUGCAAAGUGUUAUAGACUAUUUCUCAGGAUAGAGGAAUCUGUAAGCGUUUUAAAGAAAUGGCAAUCGGAGCAUCAGACACCGGGGACGAGCAAGAAGAGGAAGCGUGAACGGGAACCGAGUCCAUCUGAAACAGACAAGGGAACCAAGAAGACAUCUGAACGGGAACCGAGUCCAUCUGGAACAGACAAGGGAGCCAAGAAGACAUCUGAACGGGAACCGAGUCCAUCUGAAACAGACCGGGCUGCCAAGAAGACAUGUCCUCCCUAUAAAAAGGUUCCCCCGAGGAGCAGUCUUGUCGAGGUUGUCAUAACAUACCCUAACCAAUUGGAUCCAAAGCUGAAAAAGAGGGUUGAGAAGGUUUCAUCCGAAUUUUCCGGAAUGGUUGAAAACUUGGCAAAAGGCAAAUUGACGACAUUUGUCAGGUUAGCCUUGACGAAUGAAACCAUGUGUCAAGAAAUCAGAAAGCAGAUGACACAGAAAAUAGAAGCAGAGGUCAAGGCAUAUGCAAGACCCUUAAAUUACCUGACUUGUGCUGAACCUUGCAUCUUGAGUAGUACCUCGUUGGAGAAUAUGAAGUGUUUUUCAUACAAAGCGUUGGAUGAUGAGUUGUCCAAGAAGACACCAUGGCUUUAUACCACCAUCAAUACUGCAACAGGUGGAUCCACCAUCCAUAACUGUGUAGCCGCCUCUGUGGCCCUGAGAGGUAGAAACCCCAGGCUUUCUGCACUGGCCUAUGUCAUCAACUCCACACUGACCCAAGGAGGGGUUAAGCCCAUUUUCAAAAGACUCUCUAAGAUGGGCAUAACAACCACACACAGCAAUGUCCUAAAUAAGCAGAAAGAGAUGAAGGCAGCUGGGUACAACAUCAACAUCAAAUGCUGGAGGGAGGACUGUGAGCUGUUUUUCCAACAUAGUAUCAACGGUGAAGUCUGCCCACGACCACCUCCUACUGCUAAACCGACAGAGGAGACCGGAAGAGAGGAAGAAGAGGAGGAGGACAAGGGUCCAGUGGAGGAUGAGUUUGAAAUAGAGCUGGACUGGGGUCCACUGGAGGAAGAGGGUGAAGGAGAUGAGGAAGAGUGGAGUCCACUGUCAGAAGAGACAGAAAGAGAGGAGGACAGAGGAUCUACAGUGGAGGAAGAGAGAGGAGAGGAGAAAGCCCGGGGUUCCCUGCUAGGAGAGACAGAAAGAGAGGAAGAGGGACAAACAUUAUCAGCACUAGAAGGAAAUGACAGACAGGAAGAGGAUUCUGAUUCAACAGUGGAUUCAGAGACUGAAUACUUUGGAUUAAACCUCACCUGUGAGAGUGAUUAGAGAAGUAGCCUAACAAAGAGUCUGUAGAUUACAGAUCUAGACCUGGGCUACAUCUCUGAACAACAAGGCCCUAAUCAUAGAAUACAUCCCAAAUGGCACCCUAUUCCCUUUAUAGUGCACUACUUUUGACCAGGGCCAUUUGGGACAGAAUCAUACAGUGAAAUUACUCAUGUUGAGGGGGGUCAGGAUGUGAGGUCUACUGUUCCUGGUGUAUUGAGGGGGUCAGGAUGUGAGGUCUACUGUUCCUGGUGUAUUGAGGGGGUCAGGAUGUGAGGUCUACUGUUCCUGGUGUAUUGAGGGGUCAGGAUGUGAGGUCUACUGUUCCUGGUGUGUUGAGGGGGUCAGGAUGUGAUGUCUACUGUUCCUGGUGUAUUGAGGGGUCAGGAUGUGAGGUCUACUGUUCCUGGUGUGUUGAGGGGUCAGGAUGUGAGGUCUACUGUUCCUGGUGUAUUGAGGGGUCAGGAUGUGAGGUCUACUGUUCCUGGUGUAUUGAGGGGUCAGGAUGUGAGGUCUACUGUUCCUGGUGUGUUGAGGGGGUCAGGAUGUGAGGUCUACUGUUCCUGGUGUGUUGAGGGGUCAGGAUGUGAGGUCUACUGUUCCUGGUGUGUUGAGGGGUCAGGAUGUGAGGUCUACUGUUCCUGGUGUGUUGAGGGGUCAGGAUGUGAGGUCUACUGUUCCUGGUGUAUUGAGGGGUCAGGAUGUGAGGUCUACUGUUCCUGGUGUGUUGAGGGGGUCAGGAUGUGAGGUCUACUGUUCCUGGUGUGUUGAGGGGUCAGGAUGUGAGGUCUACUGUUCCUGGUGUGUUGAGGGGGUCAGGAUGUGAGGUCUACUGUUCCUGGUGUGUUGAGGGGGUCAGGAUGUGAGGUCUACUGUUCCUGGUGUAUUGAGGGGUCAGGAUGUGAGGUCUACUGUUCCUGGUGUGUUGAGGGGUCAGGAUGUGAGGUCUACUGUUCCUGGUGUGUUGAGGGGGUCAGGAUGUGAGGUCUACUGUUCCUGGUGUAUUGAGGGGUCAGGAUGUGAGGUCUACUGUUCCUGGUGUGUUGAGGGGGUCAGGAUGUGAGGUCUACUGUUCCUGGUGUGUUGAGGGGUCAGGAUGUGAGGUCUACUGUUCCUGGUGUGUUGAGGGGGUCAGGAUGUGAGUACAGUGUGUUGAGGGGGUCAGGAUGUGAGUACAGUGUGUUGAGGGGGUCAGGAUGUGAGUACAGUGUGUUGAGGGGGUCAGGAUGUGAGUACAGUGUGUUGAGGGGGUCAGGAUGUGAGUACAGUGUGUUGAGGGGGUCAGGAUGUGAGUACAGUGUGUGUGUUGAGGGGGUCAGGAUGUGAGUACAGUGUGUUGAGGGGUCAGGAUGUGAGUACAGUGUGUUGAGGGGUCAGGAUGUGAGUACAGUGUGUUGAGGGGUCAGGAUGUGAGUACAGUGUGUUGAGGGGGUCAGGAUGUGAGUACAGUGUGUGUUGAGGGGUCAGGAUGUGAGUACAGUGUGUGUUGAGGGGUCAGGAUGUGAGUACAGUGUGUGUUGAGGGGUCAGGAUGUGAGUACAGUGUGUUGAGGGGUCAGGAUGUGAGUACAGUGUGUUGAGGGGGUCAGGAUGUGAGUACAGUAUAUUGAGGGGUCAGGAUGUGAGUACAGUGUGUUGAGGGGUCAGGAUGUGAGUACAGUUGUGUUGAGGGGUCAGGAUGUGAGUACAGUGUGUAUUGAGGGGGUCAGGAUGUGAGUACAGUGUGUAUUGAGGGGUCAGGAUGUGAGUACAGUGUGUAUUGAGGGGUCAGGAUGUGAGUACAGUGUGUAUUGAGGGGGUCAGGAUGUGAGUACAGUGUGUUGAGGGGUCAGGAUGUGAGUACAGUGUGUAUUGAGGGGGUCAGGAUGUGAGUACAGUGUGUUGAGGGGUCAGGAUGUGAGUACAGUGUGUAUUGAGGGGGUCAGGAUGUGAGUACAGUGUGUAUUGAGGGGGUCAGGAUGUGAGUACAGUGUGUUGAGGGGUCAGGAUGUGAGUACAGUGUGUUGAGGGGGUCAGGAUGUGAGUACAGUGUGUUGAGGGGGUCAGGAUGUGAGUACAGUGUGUUGAGGGGGUCAGGAUGUGAGUACAGUGUGUUGAGGGGUCAGGAUGUGAGUACAGUGUGUAUUGAGGGGUCAGGAUGUGAGUACAGUGUGUUUGAGGGGGUCAGGAUGUGAGUACAGUGUGUUGAGGGGGUCAGGAGGUGAGUACAGUGUGUUGAGGGGGUCAGGAUGUGAGUACAGUGUGUUGAGGGGGUCAGGAUGUGAGUACAGUGUGUUUACAACGGUAUUAAAGAGACCAGCUCCAUUUAGAUGUUCAAUUCAAACUUUAUUUUUUGUUAUUUGGUACUUCCCCAAAUGGCACCCUAUUCCCUAUAUAGGAUUCUGGUCAGAAGGAAUGCACUGAAUGAAUAGGGUGUCAUUUGUGACGAAACCCUUGAAUAGAAAAAUGAAUAAAAAAUAAACCUAUAUCCAGUAUUCCAUAGAGGGGUCUGUUCAUGUCUGGGUUAUUGUUCAGGAAACAGAGGUCUUACCUGAACCUGUCCAAUAAGAACACAGGUUUUUGUUUUGCUACAUCGUGUUCUACUGAAUAGGACCCUGUUACCACGACACUAUCAAUGAUGUCACGGUCACAUGUUUGGCCUGUAGCCCUCAGGGACAGGUCUGUGUUCUUGUGGCUGGGACAGAUGGCGUCUCCAGGUUAGGGUAUGGUAAGGUGCCUGGGAACCACAAACAUCCACUUUGUUAUGUCCAUGUUGUUAUAAUUAUAUUUAAUUUGGGAUUUGUUCUCAAUUAAUUAUCUGGGUAAAUAAAGGUUAGACGAACACAAGAUUUGACCUGUCUUUAUCAUGAUGGACACCAGGCAGCCACCCAUACAGCCUUGUAAAUGAUGAUGGCAGACAUUUUGUUUUCCAAAACUCACCAAAUGUCUGCAUCUCCCACAGCACGAUGCCAAAUGCCCACACGUCCCCCUUGAAGCUGUAAUAGUUGGUUUUCUGACCGGCCAGGUCACAGUGCACCCACCACCUGUAAGUACAGGUCAGAGAUCAGGACUAAUAAAUGUUCUGUAGCUGUGUGUAUGGGUUACUGUCUGUAAGAAAUGAUCGUAGGUCACAGUGCACCACCUGGAACACAGACCCCAGAUCAUUUACUGUCUGUCUAAUGUCAGGUCCCAAACCAGUAAUGCAGGUGGCAGUUGGUGUCAUAAGGAAUGAGUGGGAGGAGGAGGAAACUGGCUUCCAUUUUGGAUCGGAGGUGUUCCAUGGCCAGUGUGAUGUGAUAAGAGGUGAUGGUGAGCAGGCUCUGUAGCUCAGGGUCAGGGGUCAUCUCGUCUCUGUGGGUCUGAAGGAAGCGCCAACACACAGGACUCUGGGAGAACUACACACAGGACUCUGGGAGAUCGACACACAGGACUCUGGGAGAACGACACACAGGGCUCUGGGAGAUCGACACACAGGACUCUGGGAGAACGACACACAGGACUCUGGGAGAACGACACACAGGACUCUGGGAGAUCGACACACAGGACUCUGGGAGAUCAACACACAGGACUCUGGGAGAUCAACACACAGGACUCUGGGAGAUCACCACAUAACACAGAAUUCAUGAUGUUGUAGUAAAUAUGUUAUAGAUGUGCCACUCGUUUCUAUUCCUUAUGGAGACUAAUAUAAAUAAUAACGACUCCCAAAGUGGUAGAUUAUCACACAGUAUUUUUUUCUUAUUUUGGUCAUGGGAGGAUGGUCAGUUUCUCAUUUGGGUCUCAGGCUGAAAAAGUUUAAGAACCCCAAAUGUAGGGAAUAGGCUGCCAUUUGAGAUACAAACUGUGUGACCUUACCCCCACUAAAGCAGUGUCUCGUUGCCCCCUCAGUCUCAAUGGACAUUUCAUCUCUGGUCAUUAUGGGUAUAAGAUUAUCAAGGAGUGGACUGGUGGUAGCCUAGCCUAGCGUUCCCUCUUUGAUGAGCUGGUGGUAGCCUAGCCUAGUGUUCCCUCUGAUCUGGUGGUAGCGUAGCCUAGCGUUCCCUCUGUGGUGUUCCCUCUUUGAUGAGCUGGUGGUAGCCUAGUGUUCCCUCUUUGGUGAUCUGGUGGUAGCCUAGCCUAGUGUUCCCUCUUUGGUGAUCUGGUGGUAGCGUAGCCUAGCGUUCCCUCUUUGGUGAUCUGGUGGUAGCGUAGCCUAGCGUUCCCUCUUUG
rnacentral:lncRNA from 1 species